AACGGGUGCGUAACGCGUAAGCAACCUGCCCUCAACGGGGGGAUAGCCCGGCGAAAGCUGGGGUAAACCCGCAUGGUCCAUGAUCAUCACCUGGUGGUUUUGGUAAACAUUUAUGGGUUGAGGAGGGGCUUGCGUCUGAUUAGCUAGUUGGCGGGGUAAGGGCCCACCAAGGCGAUGAUCAGUAGGGGUUCUGAGAGGAUUGGCCCCCACAUGGGUACUGAGAUACGGGCCCGACUCCUACGGGAGGCAGCAGUAGGGAAUAUUGGGCAAUGGACGAGAGUCUGACCCAGCCAUGCCGCGUGCAGGAAGAAGGCUUUCUGAGUCGUAAACUGCUUUUGACAGGGAAGAAUAAGCUGGUCGUGACCAGUGAUGACGGUACCUGCAGAAUAAGCACCGGCUAACUCCGUGCCAGCAGCCGCGGUAAU
rnacentral:rRNA from 1 species